AACCUAGUAUAUAAAAGAUGAAUAAUCAUAAGACACCAAUUUUUUUCAAAAGUUUGUUGUCGCCGCUGUUUGGAAUAUGCUAAACAAAAAUAAACAAAAAUGACGUCAUUACAAAUGGGCAUAAUUUCGACUUUACACCCCCUCCGAUAUACCCACUGAGUGCACUGAACAGGUAACACCAUCCAAACUGCAGAAAUAAUCAAUAGUGGUCGAUGAAGAGGACGAAAUACGAGUGGGUGCAUUAACAUGCAUGGUGAGUGCAAAUGAUUUGAAGAUUCCAUCAAGAGAAAUUCUUUGUGACCAUGUAAGAGCCUUAGAACGCUUUGCUACACUGUCAUUUUUUUGAAUACUAGUACAACUUAUGAUCGGAGCUACUCUGUAUUCUAUCAAUGGCUGCAAUACAUUAGUGACAUAACAAAAGAAAUACAUGAUCAAACCAAUGCACGAAAACAGGGAACUAAGCCAGGAUUAUAGGGCAAUCAAGGUUAUUUGAUAUAUUCAAGAACCCAAUAUUCUGAAUUUGCUGUAAGAAAAAAACCACUGAGCUUUGUAAUUGUGCCUCUUGAACCUGCAAAUAUUAUCGCUCUCUUGAUGCAUUAAUUGAUUGCGGUUUUACAGCAUGAUGAAAAGCAAUAAUUUCGAGGCUAUAAAUAUUUACAUUGUCUGAAAAUCGCAAUGAGAAUUUGUAGUUUAAACAUGGCAUAGAAGUAUGUAGUAAACAACACAAAUAAUGCCAUGAAAUUUCUUAUGUACUAUAAGAGAAUGUUGAGCAGAUCAUAGGGACUAGCGAUGCCAAUAACACCGACUGCUGCCCUAGAUAUCCUGUCACGGUUAACGAGCUGAAGCAAUAUCAGGGGCAAAAAGGCUAGUGGCGAUUGGCGAAACGAUCUUAACGAAAGUUGGGCACAAUAUCCUAUUCGACAAGAUACAGGCACAUUCGGCUUAUGGUACUAAGAACGGACAAAUCUAAGUUCACACAGCUAGACCCUUUGUAAUUUAAAAAAAAAAGAAAUAGACUACUGGGAGCGGCAGUCAUUCGGCUUAGGCAAGGCAACUACUCUAGUAUAUUGCGGCUACAUGAUCAAAGAUCGUGUAAU